AGGGGAGGUUAAACCAGCAAGAACUGCUAAUUCUCGCAUCUGAGUCUAAAACCUCAGCCCCCUUAAC
rnacentral:tRNA from 1 species